CUGCUGAGUAGAUGGCGAGGGCGACGGAGCCAGAGGCGGAACGCGGGUUAAAAGAGGGCGACGAGUGGGCAGGGAGGCUUUAUAAAGACCUGGUGUGCGCCACAGUCGCACCGAGCAGACUAGAACCUGAGGAUUGACAGACGGGAAGCUGAAAUCAAACACCACAUCGAGAUAUGACCGGGUCACUCAUUUCUUCAGGAUCUGAAUGUCGUCAACCAAACAAAAGGGACUUCAAAGGGGAGAGGUUACAUUUAGGAAGCUCCAACCAAACAACCCACCAAGUCACUUGCUACAUCAGGACUUGAAUAUCAU